rnacentral:rRNA from 1 species
UUGAACGCUGGCGGCAUGCCUUACACAUGCAAGUCGAACGGCAGCACGGGAGCAAUCCUGGGUGGCGAGUGGCGAACGGGUGAGUAAUAUAUCGGAACGUGCCCGGUCGUGGGGGAUAACGUAGCGAAAGCUACGCUAAUACCGCAUACGAUCUACGGAUGAAAGCGGGGGAUCGCAAGACCUCGCGCGAUUGGAGCGGCCGAUAUCAGAUUAGGUAGUUGGUGAGGUAAAGGCUCACCAAGCCGACGAUCUGUAGCUGGUCUGAGAGGACGACCAGCCACACUGGGACUGAGACACGGCCCAGACUCCUACGGGAGGCAGCAGUGGGGAAUUUUGGACAAUGGGCGCAAGCCUGAUCCAGCCAUGCCGCGUGUGUGAAGAAGGCCUUCGGGUUGUAAAGCACUUUAAGUUGGGAGGAAGGGUUGUAGAUUAAUACUCUGCAAUUUUGACGUUACCGACAGAAUAAGCACCGGCUAACUCUGUG